rnacentral:tRNA from 1 species
GGGGCGCUGGGCGGAUGGGUUAACCUUGCUCGUCGCUACGCGGGGCUAUAGCUCAGUCGGUUAGAGCGCAGAGCUGAUAACUCUGAGGUCGCUGGUUCGAUUCCAGCUAGCCCCACCGCACAUGGUCCGACGGCACGUCGAGCGUGAGGGGCAGCCCCGAUGUUCAAGAAGCUGUUGAUCCUGGUCGGUGUCGUCGGCGUGGCCGCGGUGGUGGCCAAGAAGGUCAAGGAAGCCAACGACGAGCGCGCUCUCUGGCACGAGGCGACCACCUCGCCGGACCUGCGUUGACGCCGUCCGCUCCGACCUGCGGCCUCAGCGCCGUGACGGGGCCCUAGCUCAACUGGCAGAGCACUGCCUUUGCAAGGCAGGGGUUAGGGGUUCGAGUCCCCUGGGCUCCAC